rnacentral:rRNA from 1 species
UACGUAGGGUGCAAGCGUUUGUCCGGAAUUUAUUGGGCGUAAAGAGCUCGUAGGCGGUUUGUCGCGUCUGCUGUGAAAACUCGGGGCUUAACCCCGGGCUGCAGUGGGUACGGGCAGACUAGAGUGCGGUAGGGGGAGACUGGAAUUCCUGGUGGUAGCGGUGGAAUGCGCAGAUAUCAGGAGGAACACCGGUGGCGAAGGCGGGUCUCUGGGCAGUAACUGACGCUGAGGAGCGAAAGCGUGGGGAGCGAACAGG